rnacentral:lncRNA from 1 species
AACACUGUGCACCGACCUGGGACAGAGAAUCUUUGCUGAGAGAACUCAAUGUUGUAAGUAAGAUCUUCUGUGUAAGCGAGGACGCAAAAGGGAGACGACUAUUUUGGAAGUCUGAGGAGCUCAUAGAAAAAUUCAAGAGCGGAGUGGCAGAAACAACAGCUUGCAGGGCCAUAUUAACUUUUUUCCAAGGUAUAUCUCACGACUUAAUGCUAGUGCAAUUGGUCUUUCUGGAAAUGUAUGUGCUCUUUUUAGAAAUGUAUGCACGGGGAGGUAGAAUCUAUAAUGUGGUUGGGCGGUUUGUUAAGGGAAAGUGUUUGCUCCUGUGAGCUAUUAGGAAAAACUACAAACAUGUCAAAUAAGGACUGGGGCCUUGGAAGAUUUAAUUUCCGCCAUUAGGGAAUUGUCACAUCCUGCAUUUAUGGAAGUUGUGCUAGAAAUAUCAGAUGUUUUCACAACCAUGUGAUGAAACCUAUCAACCUAAGGUUACAAACCUUUAUUUGGCCUCUAUGUACAAUAAUCUGUCUUAGGUGGACAGGGUUACCUCAUAGUUAUCCUCUAAAAGCCUAAGAGACUUGCCAAAUACUGACUUUGCAGUUUCUGGCUCGAAGCUGAAUCAAAUAUUUUCAUCCUAGUCUAAGUGAUAUAGGACCAGCUUCUAGUGAUACCUCACGACAAAGUGUUGAACAUAUAUUUUCACAAUCGGCUUUAGAAUUUUGGAAACGUAAUAAAUCUGCGUUCAUGAUAAGAGAGAGAGAGGGAGAGAGAGAGAGAAGAAAAGGUACGCAUUGUUUCCUUUUCGUGCUCUUUCUUCUUUAUCUCUUCAUUUUUUCCUGGAUUAUGAAAAAGUAUUCUAUUGAUAAAGAGGAGAAAGAGAAAAUUAUACGACCAGAGGUCCUCCUAGCAAAAAGUUGUAACAAAAUUGAAAAGGAAAAGAAAACAAAGCACCGAUAAAACUGUUUUAGCAAUGCAGUCUGAUUCUGAUGUAGAUCUCUAAGUGUUAAAGAUCCCUGAAAGACCAUUGUUCUUAUACCAUAUAUUACCUUUUUUCAUAAAAGAUAUUCCAGAAUAUUGUAUUACCUAACUCGCUAUGCUUGGUGCCGUCUCGUGCUACGCUAUUUGAUUGAGAGCCUUCCUGUGCUACGCUAUUUGAUUGAGAUUCGAAAUAACCCUAUUGAUCCUUCAAUAAUCUUGGAUUCUUUUCCAUCCAAAUACAUUGUCUUACUCUGAAUCAUGGUAAAUGCUACAAUUUUCCCUUCCCUCUUCCUCGCUGAUACCCAAACUCUGGUAUUCAACAUAGAACUGAGUGAAGCUGUGAUACAACAGAUUUUCCGAUGCUGCAAAUAACCUACUCCAUAAUGCAAUAGAAAGGGGAAAUGUGAGAAGGUAUGGUAUGCCUCUCAUCUCUUCGCUUACUAUGCAAACAUCAGAGACGAUGAACCUUCAUUUUGUGAACCUGCAACAAUUGGUCGUGUUUUACUUUAGGACGAAAGACCGUAUGAAACCCUUAACUCGUAGAUAAGAGGGUUAUGUUUCAGUUCUUGAAAUGAGAAAUAGGAUUUACAUGAGAAAUAACCUGAACUAUGCAAGUUGCACACCCUUUUAUUCAACAUGGGUAUGAUAACAAAUGGAAAGGACAUCAUGCAAUGGAAUAAAUUAUUACUAUUUUGUUUGUUCUCUCCUCAAAUUCAUUGUAUCUGCUCUUAUUUCCUCAGACGCUCUUAUGGUAUUCUAAAAUCGUCCCUCGUGUCACUCUGAAUAGUCAUUCCAUCUUUGAACCAAACUCACUAUUCCUCUAUCAACUCUGAAGGAAUCAUAUGGAUCCUGUAUGGUCCAUACUUUUUAGCAUUUGAGAUACCAUACUCUCUGCAGAAGGGCCAACUGGUCAAGACUGCUAGCCAAAUACACUAGCUGCGCCUAACAUUUUAAUAAACGCUUUGAUGCUUUUCUCAUCAUUUUGUUUUUGUGUUUAAGUUCCAUGGUCUCGCUCCCAAUUAUUUUAUCUUUCUUCUUCCUUGAUAGUGAACUCUUCUAUGAGUGAUUUGUUUUCGGUCCUAUUUUGAUUUUGGAGCUUAUCCGCAUUUUCGGGGACAUCAUGGAUGGAGACCAGGGACUAAUUUGAAGGAGGAAAACAUGGUAGAUUUCCGAUUAUUCGUCCUAGCAAAAAUUUGGGGUGUUCCUUCUUCCCAGCAAGUAUUAUCCAGCCAAGUUUUUGUGGCAAAUUGUUUUUUUUUUUUUGGGGGGGGGGGGGGGAGGUGGGGUUGGCGGGAAUGAGAAGAGUUGGUACAUACACUUAAAACAAUUGACAAUUAUGGAAAUCCUGCGCAAAUGAAUGGAUAGAUUGGUGUUAAUCGAAAGGAAGAAUAUCUAGAUUAAAGCUUAUCUUUUAUUUCGUAGUUAAAGAUCAUCUCACUGCCACUGAUCAGCAAAAUAUUUCUACUUGCUUGGUUUAAGAAAAUAAAUAAUAAUAAACAGGCAUACAAAUUGAAAGGUAAAGGUAAGUUCCUUAAAACAAUUAUAAGACCAACAAUGUUAUUGGAAGUGAAUGUUGGGUUGCUAAAAUCCAACAGAUCCACAAGAUAAGUGUCGCAAAGAUACAAAUGGUAAGAUGGAUACACGGUCAUACAAGAUUAGACAACAUUAAAAAUGACCAUAUUCACUGGAAGGUGCAAAUAGCACACAUUGAGGAUAAAAUGAGAGAAGAUCGCUUGACAUGGUGUGGUCAUGUCCUGCUUUGACCUCCAUAUGCACCGAUCCAUAGGUGUGAAACCAUGGUGAAUGAAGGUGUUAAAUGGGAACGAGGUAGACCUAAAAUCAUAUGGAGGAAAUUGUUUUGGAAGACCUACAACCUCUUAGAAUCAAUAUACCAAUUAGUUGGGAAUAUAUUUUAGUCUUGCUAUAUAAGUUUACCUUAGGUCCUAGGCUUUCUAGGAGUUUUAACCUUAUUAGAGAUUCUUAUGCCAGUAGAGAUUACACAGAACUUUUGGCAUUUCCCAUUUUUAUUUUGUAUAAUGUUGGCUUGAGAUGAAUUUAAAUGGGGAACACAGUCAAUGAAGAUUCAUAUAGUUGACCCCAACUUGUUUGGAACUGAGCCGUAGUAAUUUUUGCUCUAAUAAUAACCGGGCCAAGACUUGAGUGGGCUUGUUAAAAUUCUUAAAUUUAGGAGUAUUCUCUCUCUCAGUUUAAGAUUUUACAUUCCGUGGUUCAUAUAAUUCAGCAUUGAUCUCAUAGCCUUCGUAGCCAGAUGACAAAAAAAAUCCAGUCUUCUCAUUUCUGAUGGUUCAUCAAGCAGAAAAGGAUUUAAGGGCCUCUUUUCCAAUCACAUCUACCUUAAAUGGAUUACAGUUUGAUUCCUCUUGUCCUUUUUUUCAGUUUGCCGUCCCAAAAAUUUGAAAUAAGUAAACUUCUAGAAUGUCGGAAAAUUCUUCUUUAUAUCUGUUGUCUAUUUUCUAGAAGAAUGAUUUUGGCUAGUAUUGAUUCAUUUACUCUUUGGGCAAAGAGUUUGAGUUGGACUCACCAAAGAGCUCUGAGGCUGGAAAUAGUAGUAUGCAGCUGCCACCGCAGGAGGCAUGCAACCGAAUUGCCCAAGUGGUACAAGAGGCAGUGCAGAAAAUGGAAUUGGUGGCUGACGAAAAGAUGAGAAUGCUAAAGAAAGCUCGCGUAGCUCUUGCGGCUUGUGAUCAUGAACUGGAAGAAAAAGCAAAGGAAGUUGCAGAAAUAAAAAUGGAGAGGCAGCAGAAAGGGCAACAGAUAGAUGAAUUGGAGAGCAUUGUUAGGCUUAAACAAGCAGAGGCUGAUAUGUUCCAGCUUAAGGCUGAUGAGGCUAGACGAGAAGCGGACAGGUUGCAUAUGAUUGCUCUUUCAAAAUUAGGGAAAUGUGAAGAAGACUAUGCCAGCAGAUACCUAAAACAACGCCUUAGUGAGGCUGAGGCUGAGAGGCAAUUCCUUCUCGAGAAGAUUAAACUUCAAGAUCACGGUUCGGGUUCAUCACAAAGUAAUGGCAUGGCGGACCCCCCGCAAGCACUCUUAUCUAAAAUACAAGAGAUUCUCAAGAGUGUACAAUAGCUCGGAGCUCUCACUAAAGCUACACAACCAACCAAAUGAACGUCUUUGUAGAUGGCCUUGUUACUAUUAUUGGCUUGUAUUGUGUGUAGUUGCAACUCCAGAAACAAUGUGAAACAAUGUGGAGUAAUUUGGUAUUAGGAUUCCGCUUAUGACUGUAUUGUGGACUAGUAGAUGUAUAUCUCAUGCACACACUCAUAUUAAUUGUUGUUUCCUCGACCUACUUCAUUGAAACACGGGUAAAGAAAGGAUCAACUCGAUUUUAACCUUUCGGGGUCGUUUGGCAUGAUGCAUUAGAGAAAAUAUCUCUAAUGCAUGCAUUAGCUUUUGGUAAUACUAAUUCCUUGUUUGGUACACUUUUUCAAUCUAUGUAUAACUAAUGCAAUAUUUGGUAUUAUCUUAUGUAUUACUAAUACAUAGCUAACCAUGGUAUUAGCAAUACCAACGCUAUUAGGGGUCGCUUGGUAGGGUGCAUAAGAAUAAUGUUGAAUAGGGUGUGUUAGUAAUGCUGGUAUUAGUAUGCUGGCAUAUUUUUUAUCCAUUGAUUGGUUUGAUGUAUUAAAGCAUUGCACAAUUUCUAAAAGAAUUUUAUUUACAAAAAUACCCUCAUAACCAGUCCAUCACUUUAUCUUUUUAAAAGAAACAUAUGUUGUGGAAUGUUUUUAUAUGAAAAAAUUAUUUGAUUUAUCUACCUAUAUUGUAGUAUAGAACUGAAUAUUUAUUUAUAAAAAGAAAAUAUGCUAAGUAUUUAUUUAUCUACUAGGGGUAUAAUUUUAUUUUCCACUUUCUUGGAUUAUUAGGCAAAGAAAGUUUGAAUUAAAAAAUAAAAGAAAAAUAAGUUGAAUGCAAGUGCAUUCCAGUACGUAGUAGUAGAGUACAGAUUUUAUAAAUUUACAAUGAAAAAUUGGCGGAGUAUAGAUAUAAAUAGCAUGAGUAAUUUCAGUAUCAAACUUGCAUUAAUAAGCGGAAUUAUUUUCGCAGGUGCGAGAGUGCGACUGGGCAGUGGGCUUCGCAGAAGCGAUGAUGGCAUCGCAGAAGCAACGUCGCAUAUGCGCCAAUCUGUCCGCAGAGCAAAACUGGGCAGAUUAUUAAGGGAUCGAACUUGGUCAUUUUUCUCAUUUCGUUUUGGAUUUUUGGAGCUCGGUUUUGGGCGAUUUUGGAGGAGUUCUUCACGACUUCGACUUGGGUAAGUGUUCUAUAUCCGAAAGUGAUUAUAUCUCAUAAAUUCAUGGUUAUAUUCAUCAUUUAUUUCAAAUUUAAUGGAAGAAAUUGAGAAAAAUUGUGAAAUCUUCCGAAAGUGUAAAUUGGAGAUUUGGAGGACGAUUUGUUGUUGGAAUUUAAUAAUAUUUUGGUAUGGUUGAACUCGUAUCAAAUGGGGGUUUGGAUUUCGUGAAUUUUCGUCGGGUUCCGAGACGUGGGCCCGAGGGUUGACUUUGUUGACUUUUCGAGCGGAGUUGAGAAUUAUUAUAAAUUGUUAAGUUACACGCAUCGGAGUAUAUUUUGAUUGUUUUGCACAUUGUUUGAUUAGUUUCAGAUCGUUUGGCUUUGAAUUGAAGAGGCAUUGGAGCCGGUUAUGGAAUUUCGGAGCGAGGUAAGUCUCCUGUCUAACUCUGUGAGGGGGAAACUACCCCUAGGUGAUGUAUUUGAUGUGUGCUACUUGUUGCGGGGGUUACGUACGCACGAGGUGACGAGAGUUCGUACGUAGCUAGGUUCAUGUUAUGUCCGGAUAGACUUAGGUUCCCACCAUGCUAUAACUGUACUAUUCGAGUUGUCCCUUGCCUAUGAAAUUCCUUUAUUUUACGUUGCGACGUGAGGCUAGACUCGCGUAGAGUGAUAGACUUGCUAUUAUAGAGAUAUGACGGGCUUUAUGAUUAGCCGCGGAAUAAUUGUACUCUUACAAAUUUCUUCCGUGCUAUGCGUUUUCCUCGAAAGACUUUCCUUAAAUAUUUAUAUAUCACACAUUUAUUCGUGAGUGGGGUCAAGGACCCAUUAAAGCUUCUUAUUCUAAUGAGAUCGAGUCGUUCGCCUCGACAGUAUAAUAGAUGCAUCUAUGGUUCGUGCCGUUCGACCCUCGGCAAUGCGCACAAUAUGAUGUGAUCGGGCCGUUCGCCUCGGCAGGAUUUUUGUAUCAUAUCUCAUGGGAGCGCGCCGUUCGCCUCGGCAAUAUAAUAGAUAUAUCUAUGGUUCGUACCGUUCGACCCUCGGCGGUGCACACAGUAUGAUGGGAUCGGGCCGUACGCCUCGACAUUUCUAUAAAAUACUUUUACGGAAUCGUGCGUAAUAAUUUACAAGAAACCAAUGUAUCUGCGAUUUUUCCUGAUUUGGAUUGUGACAAUCUAUUUGGUGAGGUCUGUCACACUCCUUUUUUCCCCCUCACUAACCCUUUUUAAAAUAGAUAAAGUGGUUUUAAAGCUCAAAGGGUUUUCAAUCAUGAAAGUGACAAAAAGAUUGCGUUUCGAAGGAUUUUCAGAGUCGCCACCUGACAUUUGGUUUCGGUGUGCCAAGUCACCAUUUUUAAAAUAAUAAUUUUUCUUCAAAACACAUUUGACUCUAAAACUGACUGCAUCAGAGAUUCUAGAUAAGGGGGUUCAUUUGACUCGGGGAGAAGGUGUUAGGCAUUCCCCGAGUCCCGUAACCAGUACGGUUGCAUAUAUGAUCCGGUUGGCUUUUAAGAAUAUUUGGACUAAGGUAAGAAACACACAAAAGGAAAAUAAAUAGCAAAAGAGGUUUGAGGUCGUCCCUUCCUAAUAAAAGAAAAGAAAAUAAAAUAAAAUAAGUCUUACUAGCCUAUACUAUGCCUCUACUGACGAUGCCACAGCCUCCGUUUACAUUCAAUACGGGGCAUGCCCCGAAUAAAAUAUAUACCAAAUUUACGGGGAAUUCCCCUGAAUAUAAACUAAAGGGAACGACCUCUCGCCUCGAAUAAAAUAAAAUAGAAGAUCUAAAAUUUGCCUACCCAAGUGUGGUCGGCCUAAGCAUGCUCCUAACGGAUAAGUAGUAGAAUAAAAUAAAACUAAAAAAAACAAUUCAUGGCAUGCUUUUCUUUUAAUUUCUCAUUUCAUGUAUUUAGACCGAGCUCGAUCCUAAAGCAUGUAGAUGAAAUUAAUACUAAUGAGCUCGAUCUUUCCCAAUUCCCACGACCCAAUUUACUCAACGAAAGCGAGUUCAUUUUGAAGCCUCGAAACAGAUAGAAAGCAAUCAGGCAAACAAGUGCAAAGCCACGUAAACGAAAAUAACAAAAUGAAUAAAGAAGAGGUGGAUUGAAGCAUGAUGAGAGCCAUGACCCUCCUACGGACUAAUCUGUGUAACUUCCCCUACUUCACUGUUCAUACUUGAAUUGUUCUUUUUGAACUUCUCCUAAACCAAUUUCCCAAUACAUUAAGGAUCUUACACGUACGGUCUUUCACACCAGGAGCAUUUGAACACAAUUCCUUCACAAAGUCAGGCCAAUGGUUCACGCAUUCAGAGUCAGACAGACACUCAAAGAAAGUUGGCCACCAAUUUCAUUUUUGACAACAUAAAAGCUGGAGUUCUUAGCAGACAAUUAAACUCAUUUUUUACACUUUACAGCUUUAGUUUACUCAUUGAAACACAAAUGUAAUUUUUGAAAAAAAUAAUGUUACGAACACAGACCAACAUAUCAAACGAUCACUUUUCCAGUCACAUACCAAUUAAUAAAUGUCACAACCUGCUUUUAAAUCGUGCCAACUCAAUGCACCUAACUCGCUUCAUGAUUUACUAAACUCAUGACAAAACUGAUCAUGCAGGGAAACAACUCACAAAUUCAAGUAAGCAACAGAGAAUUCUAUCACAUAACAUUUAACGCGACGAAGUUUAGGAUCAGUUAACACAUAUGCCUUUGAAAAUAUCAGAUUAACCAUUCGCUUAGCUUGAUACUAGGAACAUUAACAAAUCCCCUUUCAUGAAGAAACUAACUUCAACCGGAUAACAAAGGGAUUAUUGAUCAACAUAGCCUUUUAGAGUUAAAUGCUCACAUGAAUAUUGGUGGUUACAACCUAACACUCUAACAAAAUCCAAAAGGAAAUCAUGAUUCAGUCAAGAAAGCCAACAUAUGUGCCAUCGACCAGAAUUAACAAAGACGCGAUUUAAAACCAAGAGAGAUAAUUGAAUGAGUGUAAACAGAUACAACUGGUCGGUCUUUUACUUGUCCAUGGGUCCACAUUGAAUUUGAGUUUCUAAUACAUAGUCCAACUGAUUCUUUCAGUUAAACACAUGGAAUUUAUAUGAAGUUGCAAGCAUUUCAUUCCAAAGGAUAUAACAAAAUCAGUUUUCACACACAAUUGUCACGAACGAAAUAGAGGCAGACACGAUGAGAAUUCCACAAAAUAAGCACUUGGAACACCUAAAAAUGGACUUUAGAACAUGGAUACUAAUCGACUACUGGUGAAUGAGUCGAAAUGCACGUCGAUUUACAAUUUAUAUAGGAAAUCAGCAUAAGCUAGCAGGUAUAAACAACAGACCAAAGCACCAAUGAAAAAAGAUCAUUCAGAACGGGGCAGAUUAGUGAAACAUUCAGCAAGAUUCAAGUAUUUUUGUUCACAUCAAUCAUUCCUACAUCAAACAACAAGAACAUAGAACUAACAUUCUUCCCAAAGCGAAACUAAAUCUGAAGCUAACCUAUAGACGCAAUUCUUUAAAAACUAAAUGUUAAGAACCUAAAGGUGUUAAUAAAUCCCACACCCGACUGCCAUGGCUCUUGUCAUACUUUCAAUCAACACCAAAACAGAAGUAAAGGGAAGAAGAAUGAACCUUGAAUGACAAGAUCGUUUUCAAUGUAUUCCGUUGAAAGACGCAAAUACAAGCGGAUUCAGCAACCGAAAUUUGAAAUGAACGAUACUACAGCAACAGGAACCAAGAGCCACGAACGGACCUCAUAACGGCAACUCGAUCACUCGGACCUCGAAUAGCAAUCAACAAACAGCUCAAAAUAAACUCGACUCAAUCAAACUCUAUAGUCGAAAUCCAAAUCCGAAAUCGGAACUGAUGAAGCAGAUUUUUUUUUCAUAUUUUUUAUUGAGAAUUUAGAGUUAAAAAUCGGUGGAAGGUGAAAAAUGAAGAACAAUCCCUAAAAGAAACCUAGCUCUUUUCUUUUCUCACUGUUUUCUCUUUUCUCCCCUCGAACUCCAGAAAAAUAAUCCCCAUAUUUAUAGGAACUCUAGAAACUUCUAUUCUUUUCCUCCAAGAAAACCAGAAAAUCCUCUAAAAAUCUCCAAAUUCGUUUGUUAAAACAAGUAGAGGACAAAUGGAAGGAGUAGAUUGAGCCGAAACUCAAUCCUACGCUCACCAUUCGUCCUCCCUUGCCUUAAACGAACCGUGUGAGUGAAGAGUGUGUGAGUGAAGAGUGCGUGAGAGAGAUGAAAUAUUCUUGUCAGAAGUUCGUUAGGCUAGGGCUACGUGGCAAAGAGAGGAAAGAGGGGACCAUUGGAGCGGGUUCCGGCGGGUUUGGGUAGUGAAGCGGCAGAUGGUUGAGAGAAGAGGGGUGGUGCGGCUAGGUUAGAGUGAACUAGGGUUAGGGGAUUUUAGGAUUAUAAUUGGGGUUUUAUGUGUUAGGGGGAAUUAAUGGUAGCCCUUGGAUUAGAUGGGAUGGAAGGCUAAGAUUAAGUAGGGAGAUGGGGCGGAUCAGCUGGUGGGUCAGCGGGUCAUCGGAUUGGGCUGCC